rnacentral:lncRNA from 1 species
UCCCAGGAGGUGGGCCAGGGGACCCAGAGCGUUCUGGUAUCUGGGUUAGACCCUGAUCUGCCGCGGAGCUUCGGAGCUCGGUGUUCACGCAACCUGACUCCGUUCUCCGGAAGAGGAAAGAGGCUCAGAGAGCACCCACGCAGCUUCUGAGAGGCCACGCCAGCCCUGCUCUGCAAGUCUGCUUCCACUGCCAAGAUUUCAGGAUGAUACACUCUGUGCACGGGACAGCGGUCAGAGGAGGGAUGUUACGUGGCAGAAGCUGUGAAGCCCAUAUUGCGACGCUGGGAGCGCCGAGCCGGUUUGCGAGGACGCAGGAAGCACGUGGAAAAGUUUGUCAUUUGUGUUAAACGUGGCAAAAAGAAACCAAUAUAGAGGGAACCCGACUUCGCCUCCGGGGGGGCUGGCAGUCACGUGAGCAGACAGCUUAGCAGCACGCACUUACCUCAUUAUUGAUCAUAUAUUUACAAAUCCAAGAAAGAAAAAAUUUAAAAAGCCAACAGAACUCCCAAAUAACCCAAACCAUAUUCACAGCAACAGCCUUUGAGUUCCGUCAAAACCCUCCGUAUCAGAAUGACUGCCCCCAAUUGGGUAAUAAACCAAAUCGCUUUGUGCUUAGAGACGGAAAGAACGGGAAGGAGGGAGAGUCUGUUUUAAAAUAACUAAAAAAACACCCGCCCCCAAAGUCGGCAGUUUUAGAUUAUUCCAACCCACAAGUGGUUCUACUCUGACCUUCUAUAAAGCUUGCUCGGACUGUUGAAAAAAG